UACAGAGGGUGCGAGCGUUAAUCGGAAUUACUGGGCGUAAAGGGCGCGUAGGCGGUAGAUUAAGUUAGAUGUGAAAUCCCUGGGCUUAACCUAGGAACUGCAUCUAAAACUGGUCUGCUAGAGUGCAGUAGAGGGUAGUGGAAUUUCCGGUGUAGCGGUGAAAUGCGUAGAUAUCGGAAGGAACACCAGUGGCGAAGGCGGCUACCUGGACUGACACUGACGCUGAGGCGCGAGAGCGUGGGGAGCAAACAGG
rnacentral:rRNA from 1 species